CUAACGUUUGUCAUAUAUUUUUGCAUAAUGGUUGCCAUUGACUGUUUUUAAAUUCAAAAAUUGAUUUAUAAAAUUUUGUUGGUUCAUGAUUGUAUAACAACCUUCCGUUCUCAGGUACAUCAUGACAAACUAUAAAAGUUUAUCUGAUUGCCAUGGAUUUUUUCCUUUGAGUUAUUUAAAGGAACAGGCUUAUGCAAUACAUCCAACAAGCGUGCAAGACUUACAAAAUUGCUUCACCAUAACUUGCAGAGGUCUAGUUCUUAUUAUGCUAUGUCACAGCACGAGAAAACUUUUCAAAUGUAUAUUGCAACUGAUGAACAAUUUGAACAAGAUUUGUAGUAGACUCUGCAUAUUUCUCACUCUUUUUUCUUUCAAAUAAUGGAUUAGACAUUUCAAUAAUUAUCACUUUUCAUUUAUCUCAUUUUUUACUGUCUGUGACAUGUUUUAUGAAAAAUCGCAUUUUUAUAUACUAAUUAAAGACUGCUUUACAAUUUUAUAAUCGAAAAUUUUCUUCCCAGAAUAGGAGAGAAUAAACAGAAGUAGAUGAUUACUUCUAUUUAUUACUUCUGAAGUGUUAGAACACUUCAUUUGAGAGUUAAAGGGAUACUACAUAAAGACCUGGAUUUGUGUAUAGGCAUGCGUGUGUGAAUGUGCAGAGUAUACGUCAGAAUUUUAGAACAUAUUUGCUUCUCUUAAAGAUUAAACGAGAAAUUGCUUUCUAUUAUAUCAAUACACAAUAUAUCAUUUUAAAGUAUCUUUAUAUAUAAUAUGCUCUGUAAGUUGCUAGAUCUGUAAUUGCAAAAAUUUGCUAACAUUAACUAUGAGUCUAUAAAACGAUCUUGAACUUUUAUAUCAGAUGAAUCACUAUAAUUAUAAAAAUACUUGUGUGUUAAAAUAUUUAAAAGAAAAUAUAACUUUUAGGUAAAAUAAAUCGAAAAAUUUUU
rnacentral:lncRNA from 1 species